GUACUUCAGGUCCCUGUUCGGGCACCACUUGACGGUGCCUGCCGUCGAAGUCGAACAGUCUGAAGGGGAGGCGUGGAGCUGAAUAUAUGUACAACUCACUCUGAGAGGACGCCCCACGUUUGGGCGCCUGAUGUAAUAACAAAAAACACAGACAACACUGACAGACAGACAAUGGCUGCAGCCCCAACGUGGCGCAGCACCUUUAUUUUUAUACUGCCUUUCUCGGACCUCAGCCAAGUGCAAUACUCAUCUUUCCCUUCUCGGGGGGUGGGGGGGGCAGGCCAGAAGCAGGGGAGGUGUUUUCACACAUCCUCAAGGUCUCCCUAUUUUCAGAGUGAGGCGUCUUGGCUCAUCUUCGAGAACAAGAUAUGUUUUUGCGGGCAGAUAACUUCCAAGGACGGCACCGGUUGCUCUCAAGCUGGUGCUUUCCCGUGCUGGGUUCAGACAUGGGGGAAGGUGCUUUCCCAUUCUGCCUUCAGACAUGUGAGAAGACAAAGGCCGUCCCCAACAUCUACCCCCUAACUUGUCUCAUCCAUAAGGAACUGGAUGACUGACAUCCGCUGAAGGCUAAGGAAAGGAAAAAUACAAAGGGCUGCAUUUUCCCCACGGACAGAGAAGACAAGUCGCCUUUCUUCUGGUCUCUCAUGGAAAAGCUAGUGUGCAUGUUUUGGUGUGUGUUGCUCUGUGUCUACAUUCUUUCCUACUAUUACAGCAGAACUUUUCCCCUCCUACUUCAGCAGAACUUUUUCCCUGGAGGGGAGAAGAGGGGAAGGGAGGGAAGAGAAAGCAAAGCCCUCACCAUGAGCAGCUCAUCUCCCACCUGCCUACAUGAGGAAAGUAUUUUCACAUUUUUAUACCCCCUCCUAUCCCAUAAAUAGCCAGAACCUGGCAUAUUGUAGGAAGGCAUCUGACAGUGAUCUCUUUCACUGAAGUGUUAAAAAGAAACACACAGGCCCAACAUGGGGUCAAUUCUCCUAGGCCAGGUCCCCAAAUUCAGCUUAAUGCCCAACCUAAUUGCAGUUUCAGCCUCUACCAGGAGUGGCAUUUUAAGCCAGUCUAGAAUUUCCUGAUUGCUAGUGAGGUCAUCUGCACAAGCCCCCCUGCUUAUCCUGAGGUAGGGUGACCUUCCUUGCAACAUCCCUCAUCUCUUCUUUUGCUAGUAACUUUUUGCCCCACCCUCCUGUCUUUAAAAACCUUCCAUUCUGAACAACUCCUAGGAGCAACUCUCUACUUUGCUAGUUGGGAUGCUGCCCAAUUCAUAAAUCACUUAAAAAGACCAAUUAGAUCUUCAAAUUUACUUGGUUGAAUUUUGUUUUUUU